rnacentral:miRNA from 1 species
UGUUCUGUGAUCUUAAAGG